GUAAUAGCGCCGGCCAACUCCGUGCCAGCAGCCGCGGUAAUACGGAGGGCGCGAGCGUUACCCGGAUUUACUGGGCGUAAAGGGCGUGUAGGUGGUUUGGCGCGUCCAGCGUUAAAGACCGCGGCUCAACCGCGGGGGUGGUAAAACGACGGCCAGGCUAGACGGCUGGAGGGGGUGGUGGAAUUCCCGGAGUAGCGGUGAAAUGCGCAGAUACCGGGAGGAACGCCGAUGGCGAAGGCAACCCCCCGGCCAGUUUGUGACGCUGAGGCGCGAGAGCGUGGGGAGCAAACCGGAUUAGAUACCCGGGUAGUCCACGCCCUAAACGAUGCGCACUAGGUCUUUGGGUUUACUGGGGGCCGAAGCUAACGCGUUAAGUGCGCCGCCUGGGGAGUACGGCCGCAAGGCUGAAACUCAAAGGAAUUGACGGGGGCCCGCACAACCGGUGGAGCAUGUGGUUUAAUUCGAAGCAACGCGAAAAACCUUACCAGGCCUUGACAUGCUGGGGAACCUGCCUGAAAGGGCGGGGUGCCGUAAGGAGCCCCAGCACAGGUGCUGCAUGGCCGUCGUCAGCUCGUGCCGUGAGGUGUUGGGUUAAGUCCCGCAACGAGCGCAACCCCUGCCCCUAGUUGCCAGCGGGUGAAGCCGGGGACUCUAGGGGGACUGCCCGCGAAAGCGGGAGGAAGGCGGGGACGACGUCUGGUCAGCUUGGCCCUUACGGCCUGGGCGAC
rnacentral:rRNA from 1 species